AACGAACGCUGGCGGCAUGCCUAACACAUGCAAGUCGAACGAGACCUUCGGGUCUAGUGGCGCACGGGUGCGUAACGCGUGGGAACCUGCCCUUAGGUUCGGAAUAACUCCCCGAAAGGGGUGCUAAUACCGGAGAAUGUCUUCGGACCAAAGAUUUAUCGCUUUUGGAUGGGCCCGCGUUGGAUUAGCUGGUUGGUAGGGUAAAAGCCUACCAAGGCGACGAUCCAUAGCUGGUCUGAGAGGAUGAUCAGCCACACUGGGACUGCGACACGGCCCAGACUCCUACGGGAGGCAGCAGUGGGGAAUAUUGGACAAUGAGCGAAAGCCUGAUCCAGCAAUGCCGCGUGAGUGAUGAAGGCCUUAGGGUUGUAAAGCUCUUUUACCCGGGAUGAUAAUGACAGUACCGGGAGAAUAAGCUCCGGCUAACUCCGUG
rnacentral:rRNA from 1 species